UACGUAGGGACCGAGCGUUGUCCGGAAUCAUUGGGCGUAAAGAGUGCGUAGGCGGUGUCGAAAGUUUGGCGUGAAAUCUCCCGGCUUAACUGGGAGGGUGCGCCGAAAACUGCGGUGCUGGAGUGUGGGAAAGGCAAGCGGAAUUCCUGGUGUAGCGGUGAAAUGCGUAGAUAUCAGGAGGAACACCGGCGGUGUAGACGGCUUGCUAGACCAUAACUGACGCUGAGGCACGAAAGCGUGGGUAGCAAACAGG
rnacentral:rRNA from 1 species